rnacentral:rRNA from 1 species
GACGAACGCUGGCGGCGUGCCUAAUACAUGCAAGUCGAACGAACCGCGACUAGGUGCUUGCACUUGGUCAAGGUGAGUGGCGAACGGGUGAGUAACACGUGGGUAACCUACCUCAUAGGGGGGGCUAACAGUCGGAAACGACUGCUAAUACCGCAUAGGACAUAGGAUCACAUGAUUCUGUGAGGAAAGGUGGCGCAAGCUAUCGCUAAGAGAUGGACCCGCGGUGCAUUAGCUAGUUGGUAGGGUAAAGGCCUACCAAGGCGAUGAUGCAUAGCCGACCUGAGAGGGUGAUCGGCCACAUUGGGACUGAGACACGGCCCAAACUCCUACGGGAGGCAGCAGUAGGGAAUCUUCCGCAAUGGACGAAAGUCUGACGGAGCAACGCCGCGUGAGUGAAGAAGGUCUUCGGAUCGUAAAGCUCUGUUGUUAGAGAAGAACAGCGCAUAGAGUAACUGUUAUGCGUGUGACGGUAUCUAACCAGAAAGCCACGGCUAACUACGUG